UACAGAGGGGGCAAGCGUUGUCCGGACUUACUGGGUGUAAAGCGCAUGCAGGUGGCCUGGCAAGUGUGCUGUGAAAGCCCCGUGCUUAACACGGGGAGGCCAGUACAGACUGCCAAACUCGAGGACUGCAGAGGGUAGGGGAAUUGCUGGUGUAGUGGUGAAAUGCGUAGAGAUCAGCAGGAACACCAAUGGCGAAGGCAGCUCGCUGGGACGUGACUGACGCUGAGACGCGAAAGCCAGGGGAGCGAACGGG
rnacentral:rRNA from 1 species